rnacentral:rRNA from 1 species
AUCCCUGAUAGGUGAGGGCUCCUGGAAUGGACCCUCGCCGAAAGGGCGCCUAGACCAUGCUUCUAGGCGCUGCCCAAGGAUGGAGCCGCGGCCGAUCAGGUUGUUGGUGAGGCAACGGCUCACCAAGCCUUUAACCGGUACGGGCCGUGAGAGCGGGAGCCCGGAGAUGGGUACUGAGACAAGGACCCAGGCCCUACGGGGCGCAGCAGUCGCGAAAACUCCGCAAUACGCGAAAGCGUGACGGGGCUAUCCCGAGUGCCGUCCGCUGAGGAUGUCUUUUCCCUAGUGUAUAAAGCUGGGGGAAUAAGGAGAGGGCAAGCCUGGUGUCAGCCGCCGCGGUAAUACCAGCUCUCCGAGUGGUGGGGAUGCUUAUUGGGCCUAAAGCAUUCGUAGCCGGUUGGGCAAGUCCUCCGUUAAAUCCAGCGAUUCAAUCGUUGGACUGCGGGGGAUACUGUCCGGCUUGGGGGCGGAAGAGGCCGACGGUAUUCUCGGGGUAGGGGUGAAAUCCUAUAAUCCCGGGAGGACCACCAGUGGCGAAGGCUGCCGGCUAGAACGCGCCCGACGGUGAGGGAUGAAAGCUGGGGGAGCGAACCGGAUUAGAUACCCGGGUAGUCCC